CUUUUUACCUUUUUAAUAUAGCUACUAGAAAAUUUUCAAUUAUGCACAUGGCUUGCAUUAUACUUCUAUUAGAUAGUGCUAUAUAUUCUAUAGCCAUUGUAACUUCUAAAUUUGGGACUAAUCAUAUUGUGCAUAGCCUCACUCAACCCUCAGGCCUGACGCAACAAUGUCUGGCUUCAUUCCUUGACUGUUGUUGCCCACCCUGUGCCUGAUCGAUAAGACACUCCCAUCAGCCACCCAGCAACAGGUGCAGGAAACAUAACCAUGGACAACAGUGCUGCCUUAAGGCAAUUGUGCUCUACUUACUGAAGCUCUACUAUUUUAUCUAUAAUGUAGCAUUACAAUUUUUACAACCCUGUUUUAUCAGUCCCAUUUGAUGUUCAGUGUUUAUAUAAGGAAAAAAACACUAAAAGAAGACAACUGUUAGGAACACUUUGGUUCCUUCUUCCCAGGCUUGUUUAAACUUUUUAAGUUACAUCUUAUUAAAUGUAGCUGUGUAUAUUAAUACGCUUUUAUAUACGUGCAGAUAAAACUAUUGGAAGGGAAAUUUCUAAAAUGUUAACAGUGUUUUCUCUAGGUAAAGGUAAAAAACAGGUGACUUUUGUUUCAUAAUUUUAUGAUUUUUCUGAAAUGUCUAUAAUAUACAUAUAUUGCUGUCAUAAUCUAAGGGUAAGAGACCUCAAUUUAUAAUCAAUCAGCCAAGCCUGAUAAAGCAGAGCAAGCAAGUCCGUUCCACGUCGCUAUGAACACAAGAGAAGGAGUGGGUUUCCUGUGGGGUUUGCUAACCCAAGAACCAAAUGAAACAAAUCAAGCUGUUGGCUGAUUCUCUUUAACCAUCUCCAACAGACUGUCUGCAAAGACUCUUAGUGGAAAGAGAAGGAGGUAGUCCAGGAUAUUGAGGAUGAAAAUAUAGAUUCAAUGAAGGUGAAGGGGAUAUUUCCUGAGUAAAUCUGCCUGCAUCAAGUAGCAGAUGAAGUCAUAGGUUCCAAAACACAAUAUCCCACCCUAUUUAGGUACCAGCUACCUCAGCCCAAACACACACAUGAUUGGACAAAAAUGGGGUACUUGAGGAAAGGCAGCAGAAUCCCCAAAGACACCCAAGGACCAAGAUCAUUUCCCACUCUGCCCAAAUAUGCCUCCCUUGCCUCGAUGUCUUUCCAUGCUGUCAAGGUGCUGUAGUGUGAGUAUGUAACCACUGGUAUGUCUGACUGAGUGAUCAAGGGUCACAACAUAAGAAGAAAAAGGACAGGAGACAGAAGUAUAAGGUGUCCUCAUUUAGCAUGUCCAUGUUCACAUCUGCCUCCCAACAACCCUUCCCUACUAAUGCGAACUCCGGGAAUGUACCAGAAAUGUCAGUGACUCCACCCUACCCUAACCCCACAACCAAACUGCCUUAGCCAACAGAACAUAAGGAAAAGAGUAAGAGCCUUUUAGUCAAACAGCGCUCAAACCUUGGUUCUUUCAUCUCCUCUGUCACUAACAGCAGUGAGAAUUUGAGCAAGUUAUUUGUUUCACAAUCUAUAAAAUUGUGGUCAAAGUGCCUCCAGUGGGAGGGAGACCAGUCAGGACCCCUUUCCUAACAGGCAACUUUGCACACUUCAGUGACACUCCCCAGGUACAGGAAAUACAUAGUCCAGGUAACAUGGACCUUCUUGUAGUCCCUUCUACCUCUCCCUCACCCUCCCUUAUUCCUUUCCUCUCUAGACUCUCCUAAUGGACUAAACCUCCUCAUAUCCAUUUUGACAGGAAAAAAAAAAGGGAACCGAAGCUGACCUUCUACAUCUCCCCCUGCACACUGCUUCCAACACACACACACCCCUUCCCCUGCCAAAGCUUGUUCACAACAAUCCUGAUCAUGCUCUUGCACCUUAUCAGGAUUCUCUGUACAUCUUAUGUUUCAAAUGGACACAUCAUCUAGGAAAAGUUUUCACUGGGCCUAGGAAGAAUCUUUAGACCCAAAAGACAGGAAAAAAAUGAAUGCACAAUUGGCAAAAGGAAAAAUGUGUGCUUGACUUCAUAGCACCUCUGAAAAGAAAACUAAACUCAGAAGCACCAUUUUGAGUAAAAUUGUUCUUCCCUUUCUUGCUUCCCCUUCUGCUGUACAGUUUCUUUUCCCAACAAUCUUUUCCUCAAAUAGGGUUGUAUGAGUCACCUGGGGAGAGUCAAAGGAAGGUUGGUGUGUAACCCCAGGGAAUUCCCAAUACGAGGAAUUUCAAGUGAAAAUGAAAUGAACAGAGGGAGACUAUUUAGUGACAAAGAAUCUAAAUUCCAGCUUCUGAAUCCCAGAGCCGUUUUUCAGACAUGAAUGUGAAAAGAGAAAACACUGGCAAUAUUGAGGCCAUUUGUAAAGAGUAUGCUUUCACAAUGAAUUAGGCAGAUGAACAAGGAGUGGUUUUUUGGUGUGCCUUGCUCCAGGGCACCUACAUCUAUCCAGGAAGACAUGUCAUAAUUAAUAUAGCUGAAAGGGUGGCAGAAAUUGAACAGGCAGUGAAAUGAAGAAGAUUUCUAGUGCCUCCUAAAUGGGGACUUCACACUGUAGUGUCAUGAUAUGCUAGGAAGUAGUAUGAAUUCCCAACAUUAAAUAUAAUCAAAUGAAAACACUACUCCCAAACUAAAGAAAGAUGAGCCUCUUCACAAGUCUAUUCUCUUCGCAGGAUGUAAGGAUGACUCAGAGUUGAUCAUCCUUACAAGAAUGGCCUACAGUUCAAUAUCAGCAACAAGCAAGAAAUUAUUCUGCCAGAGAAAUUCCAUUUUCAAGUGAUACUAACUCAAGACCUAUAGAGUCUUCAUAUUUAUUUUAAUUUCAUAAAAUAAGCCUAAGGCUGGAAGAAAAAUAUAUAGACACUUCUGACAGAUUUUGAUACUAAAAGCAACCAUCCACAUCCAGUACCUUUCCAUGUAGCCAGUGACAAGCAGGCUGGGUUUAACUAGGCAAAAUGUAUGAACAUAAAUGGUGGGGGAAAAACUCAGAUCUAUGGAAAAAUGAUGGGGACUAAUGGGGAACGGGAAGCUCAGAGCUGUGGAAAAAUGAUGGGGAAGAGGGAAGCAAGAAGGUUUAAAGGGGUUUAACAAAAACAAGAGCUUCACAUUCACUCAUCUAUUCUUUCAACAAGUAUUUAUGGAGCACUGACUGUAUACCAGGUACUAGGAACACAAUGCUGAAUAGGACAUAGUCCAUGUCUGCAUGGAGCUUACAACUAGUAAGGUGGAUAUAAACCUAAGCCUGACAUAAUACAGCAUAAUUAAGUACUAAAGUUGGGGCAAACAAACUUGAGGAAAGGCCCCUUAACCCACCCUGGGAUGUGAAGGGUCAAGAAAAGCAUCCCAGAGUAAAGAAGGUCAGAAGCCAAAGCAAAUGCCAAGGUGAAAGGCAUUAUGAACAAAUCUCCUUUCCUCUUCGUCUAAUGUCUUUUUCGCUUUAACUUAUGGCAAAAGGCGAUGAUCAAAAAAGGUGGGUAAAUGGACCAGAGGAUGAAACCAGCUGAGACCAUGAUGUUAUAAUCACACAUAAAGCUAUGUGAAAAUUUGAGAAUACAGGAGGGAGAGUGUAAUUCUGAGACUGACAGAGGUGAAGUUUAGGCCAAAUAGUGGAGGUUGGGUAAAAAAAAAAUUGCAAGAGAAUCGUAGCGAGAGAUACUGACAGAGUAUUCAUGGCUGAUUGAUUUCAUCAGCUCAAACAGAACUGUCACCUAGAGUCCACUGCUCAAAUUGGCCCCUUCUUUUUCUUCCUGGUAAACUAGCCGACAUCUGUGGAGUAUGUUCAAUUGCCCUUUCUAGAAGGCCUUUAAAAAGUAUUUUUUUCUCUCUUCAAUAUUUUAUUUGAUGUUUCUGUUAGACUGUCUUAUCCCUAAGCAAUGGCAGAAAAAUACGUUUGCCAAUGUACAAUCAACUCUGAGAGUCAAAUGAAAACUGUCCUUCUUUACAUGUAUAGGUUUCUCCAGUGCUGCAUGAAAGUGCAGUUAUGUUUAACUUUUUCUCAAACUCAGUACAUUUAUAGAUUUCUUCAUCAUUGAGGAUUUUGGUGUUGGAUGAAAUGAAGGCACUGAAAGAUGCUUCACAGCACUGGACAUAAUAUAUGGGACUUCUCUUUCACAUGGAUUCUCUUGAUGCUGAGGAAGGACGGCACACUGAGUGAAGCUCUUCCCACUUACUGUCUGCACAGACCCGCUCCCCUGAAGAAUGCUUCUGUGGGACAAUCACAUCUUAGGAGAAAUCACUGACACAUUCUUCUUGAAAUUUAAACUAAAUGCUCUCAAGGGAUGAGAGACCCUGGAAGCUGGGAGGCUCUUGGAACUCUGUUGCCAUCAUCAAGGCUUCCAGAUACAGCCCUCUGGGUCAUCCAGAGGUGCCAGCCAGCCCUCACCAGUGGUCAGCUUUUCCUCAGUGGAGUUGUGGGUGAGCCAGUGGAGCUUGCUCUGAAGAUACUAGAGGGAACCAAAGCUGUCUGGCCCUUCAGUGUGACUCAGUUUCCAGACUCUAUCUCUUUAGACAUAAAUGAAGAACAAGUGAACCUUGAUCUCUUUGACGGUUGGUUCAGGGGAUGAUGUGUUGUAGGGUUUUCCCACAGGUCAGCAGGCCAACUGCCAGGGCCAGAGCCCCAUCAAAGAAUCCUCAGUGCCAGCCGGAAAGAAUGAUGAACUCCUCGUCUAAAGGGAGUCUGGGGCGACCAGUCAAACCAUGGCCUCAUGAGAAGCAGCUGACUAGGGAAUGAGAGAGGAAUACAAAAGACAAGGCACUGCAAAGUCAAGUCUGGUUGGGGAGAAGAAAUCAAUAUGCCUGAAACAGGGAACCAGAAAGGACUCAGACAAAACUGCUAACAAGUAUGGAGCUUCUUGGGGUAGGUGGUGAAAAUAUUCCAAAAUAAGAUUAUAGCAAUGUUUUAAUAACUCCCUGGAUAUAACAAAAAACAUUGAAUUGUACAC